CAGUAAGCUGGCCACACUGCUCCUCCAGGGAUCUCAGAGAGAUGGCAGCUUGUCAAGUUCCUGAGUCGCUGGUCUCAAUGUAGGUUGCUGCAAGGUUUGAUGCUUUAAUGACAUCAUGAAGGACCCAGCCAUUCCAUCUCUCUGCUUUGCAUUCCUCAAUGUGUCAGCUUUGUGCCAGAGUCACAAGACGGCUACACUCCUCCAGGCAUUGUAUGCAGAUAUAACGACAUACCCCAAAAGAAGAGAAGACUUCUCCAGAAGCCUCCCAGGAGACCUUCACACAUGGCUUAUUAGAUCAGAGCCCCUCCUUAAACCAAUCACUAAAAAGGAAAAUGGAAUUGCCAUGAGUGGCUCAGCAAAAUCAUGAUUUACCCCUGGAUGGGAAUCAGGGUCACCUUCAAAGAGCAUAUGGACAUGUGAAGGAGCAUAAACACAAUCACAAAAUUGGGGCUCCCACCAUCGGUUGCAGAGGCAGUCGGCAGUGUCUGCUACAAGUGACAUCAAGUAGCAUCUAUCAAGUGGCAUUACUUUAACAAAUAUUAACAAUAGGGUCCUCAUCUCAGUUUAGAAGAAAAAUCCAAAAUCAAAGUAGACUGAAGAUAAGGUAAACGGUGAUGUUUGCCACACUAGUGGUGAGGUUUUCAUAGUUUUACCCAAACCAGUUUUUAUUUUUAGUGCUUGGUUGGGGUCACUGAAACUUCCAGGUUGUCCUAACCUGUUAAAAUCUUUUAAAACAUUAUUUGUGACUGUUUCUCUUUGGACAGUGCUUUUUGUUAAUCACAAAAAACAGGGUAGAAGGUAAUAACACAUGCAAAGGGAUGUGUAGCAAUCAAAGGGAAAUGUUAUCCUUCCUAGGAGACAGGAUUUAUGGGAUUCCUGGAUCUUUUUUGUGUCUGAUUGUUAAGGUCUUGACAGCCUUUCAAUUGAGGAAUACGGUCGUGUCUGUUAAACUAAUUGUAGCUGUUCACUCCACUAUAUAAUUUUACAACAUUUCAGCUUCAAAUAGAAUGGCUUCAAUAAACAUAAAGCAGACUGACACAUCCCAGAUUUCUGCAGUUUAUUUUACACCAAGAAAUUACAUUUAGAGAUUUCCAGACACAUACUAUAAAUGAAAAUUCAACAGGAAGUUUCUUUCAUUUCCUCUAGAUCUGACCUAUAUUUCAAAAAUAUAUGAGUGGGCUAUAACCAGGAACUUCUUCUCUUGCUCCCAUUAUUCACACCGUUUUCUGAAGAGUUUUUUUCUCGUCCGCGACUCUAAUGGCCAUUAAGGGAAUUGCAGACAUUGGAAGACUAUACAACCCUAAGUGAAAUGAGUGAAAUGAUAAAUGUUAUCCACAAGAUGGCCAAAUUGUAUGGUUCUGGGCUACCUAUCUCCAUCAGAUUAACUAGAAAAGCUAGACCUCCUCGUGCUUUUAGCAUGAAAUAGACAACACUCAUCCUUUUCCAUUUAUACAAC
rnacentral:lncRNA from 1 species